rnacentral:rRNA from 1 species
UGGCUCCCCUGAUGGUUAGCGGCGGACGGGUGAGUAACACGUGGGUAACCUGCCUGUAAGACUGGGAUAACUCCGGGAAACCGGGGCUAAUACCGGAUGCUUGAUUGAACCGCAUGGUUCAAUUAUAAAAGGUGGCUUUUAGUUACCCUUUACGAAGGGACCCGCGGGGAAUAAGUUAGUGGGGGAGGAAAGGGUUCCCCAGGGAAAGGAUGGGAACCCAACCGGAAAGGGGGAUGGGCCACAUGGGAAUUGAAACCCGCCCCAAACUCCUACGGAAGGAAGAAGAAGGAAAUUUUCCGAAAGGGACAAAGGUUUGAGGAAAAACCGCCGGGGGGGGGAGGAGGGUUUUCGAACCGAAAAAUUCUGUGGUAAGGAAAAAAAAAGAACCGUCCAAAUAGGGGGUACCCUGGAGGGACCCAACCCAAAAGGCCCCGGUUAAUUACGGGCCAGAACCCGGGAAAAUACUUAGGGGGAAAGCGUUGUCCGAAAUUAUUGGCGGAAAAGGGGGGGCAGGCGGUUUCUAAGUUUGAAGGGGAAAGCCCCGCUUCACCCGGGAAGGUAUUGAAAUUGGGAACUGGAGUGCAAAAAGGGGAGUGAAUUCCCGUGUAGGGUAAAUGGUAAAGUGGGAACACACCAUUGGCAAGUGACUCUCUGUCUGUACUGACGCUGAGCGUAAAGAUGAGAGGACAGAUUAAAUACCCUGGUACUCCACGCUGUAAC